GACGAACGCUGGCGGCGUGCUUAACACAUGCAAGUCGAACGGACAGGCCCCUUUGUUGGUCCUCGAAUGUCGAACGCGGGCGUAACACUUGAGUAACCUGCCCUUGACUUCGGGAUAACUUCAGGUAACUGAGGCUAAUACCGGUUAGGGAUCCUUGCUUCAUGGGGGUGGUUGGAAAGCUUCGGCGGGUUUUGAUGUACUCGCGGCUUAUCUGCUUGUUGGUGGGGUUGUGGCUUACCAAGGCGUUGACGGGUAGCCGGCCUGCGGGGGCGACCGGCCACAUUAGGACUGAGAUGCGGCCCAGACUCCGAAGGGAGGCAGCAGUGGGGAAUAUUGCACGAUGGGCGGAAGCCUGAUGCAGCAAGGCCGCGGGCGGGAUGACGGCUUUCGGGUGGGAAACCGCUUUCAGCAGGGGAGAAGCUUGUGGUGACGGUACCUGCAGAAGAAGCACCGGCUAACUACGUG
rnacentral:rRNA from 1 species